rnacentral:lncRNA from 1 species
GCGGCUCUCCGCCUCUUUGUCUGCUCUGGGACUUGGAACAAAAGGGGAAACUCUGAUGAACUCCUUCUCCAGCUCCCUGGACGCCCGAGUAUCUCUUUCUCGCAACUUUGUCAACGCGACUUUCUCCGCUGUCAGGCUGCGCAAAAGUAUCCUAGCGCCUCGCAGGCUGCAACAAUGGAAACAAUGUCCCUUCAAAGUGCGACGAAGUGGAGGGAGAAGGUGUCAUACCAGCGACUCCAAGAGUCAUGUCACCCACUUAGCAGGAGUACUUCUACUGAAAUGCCUUCGAAUUUCUCUUACUGGAUAUAUACCUACCAGCCGCUAGCAUGAAGAUGCCAGGACCGCUGCAAGUUAGCACUGGACAAAGUAGCAUCAACUUCUUCAUUUAGAGUUUCUUCAGUUAAAUUGCUGGGAUUUUCGACAAGGCUUUCCUUAUGUGGAUUAUUGGAGUGUGAUGCCCGAGAAUUCUCUACUUGUAGAAGCACGCCCACGGGACUGCAGAAGCCUUCACACCCACCCAGCACGCUCAGAUCAUCCAGUAACCAACCCAGGAAGUUCUUGUAAGCAUGCAUUUCUUAGUCAACACUGAAUGCCUUUAGACCGAGGUCAACCUUUUCAGCUGGUACCGUGGUUUACACUGCUGAAAGUACUGUCUUCAACCUUACCAAUGUCAGUGGCGGCGACGGUGGCGUCACCAUCACCAUCAGAGAAAAAGAAAUAUGCCUUUAUGUCAUGGGUUGAUGGCCUAACACUGGCUUAACACUCAUGUCGGCUGCACUAAUUGAAGUCACAUCCAAGUGGGUCAAUGCACUGAACAUAUCUGAUAUAGAAGGUCCCAGAUCCUGAAUUUUUAUCAAUGGUUUGCUGUAUAAGGCUUGCCUCCCAAAUAGCUGAGGACCCUUAUUUGGGAAGAUACGUUCUGAUGGUUAAGCAACAGCACAGAUGUCGAUGGGAAUGAGUGAUGGCCAUCCAGUGACCAGCUGGAUCUGACUGCCUUACAAGACGCAUGUGUAUGAUUAAGAGAGAGACAUUCGUGACUCCCAGAUGUACCUCCUUCCUGUCCCACAGUGUUCCUGAAGGGAGUGAGUUAUGGGGUAACUUAUAACACAGCAGGCUCUUCCUCAAGAUAGCUCUUGUCAAAACAGGAAGACGAAACUCGGGUUUCCAUGAGGAGACCACAGCUUGGGAUCCUGUCUGGAUGUACAAGCAGAAGCAUCUUCAUACUUUUCCAUUUCUAACCAUCAUGCCUCACCCCACCCUCCCAAGGCGACAUCUGCAGAGAGGUGGAACCAUCUAGGGAGGCCUGCCACUGUUUGCUGAGCUCCGGGUGAGGAUGAAGACACUUUGACAUGGCCAGCUUCAGACUCGGGAUCUGUCGGUGUUAGCAGCCGAAGGAGAAUGAGGAGGAAGAGGAGGAGAAAGAGGAGGAGGAAGUAAGACAGAGGGGGACAAGAGGACCAAGAGGGCACAUGGCUGAGGAGGAGGAGAACAACAACAACAACAACAACAACAACAACAACAAGAAGCUUGGUGAAAUACCCAUUCCACACCGAGCUGAACCCAGCCAUUCCUCCAUGGCUUCUACUUCAGUAGCAUAUGCAGUUUUCAGGAUGUGUUCCUGAGUCUCGUGAGUAGCACAUGGCAGUUGUUGUCACCUUGGGCUGAGCCGUGAAGAUUCUCACCCUCCCUUGUUGGGGAUGAACUCCGGGAUUCUAAGGAGAGGUCAGCAGGUGUUUCACAGACUGUUCCUGUUGGAGGAUUUGUCUGAUACUCUUCUCCUGAUUAGUCUGGGCUCUACAUUUCCCCAAGGGUGAAACUUGGAAGCCCUCUCCAGGAUGCAGCAGGUAGCUGAGGAGAAAACGAAGACUGACCAGCCCAGAGCUCAGAGCUUCCUCCCAUGCUCAGGAUUUACCACCAAUGCCAUUACAUCGGCCUCUUCUUGUAUGCCUCUGGAAACCACAUGUGUCCUCUGUUUGUAAUGGUUUGGCUAUGGUUGCUGGCCCCUCUUGGACAUUGUUUUCAGAACUUAAAGAAACAUUGCUUUAAAGAUUUAUUAGAACAUAUUUAAAAUAAAACCAUCUUCUCAUUUAGUAUGCAA